AUGAACGCUAGCUACAGGCUUAACACAUGCAAGUCGAGGGGCAUCAGGAAGAAAGCUUGCUUUCUUUGCUGGCGACCGGCGCACGGGUGAGUAACACGUAUCCAACCUGCCCUUUACUCGGGGAUAGCCUUUCGAAAGAAAGAUUAAUACCCGAUGGCAUAAUGAUUCCGCAUGGUUUCAUUAUUAAAGGAUUCCGGUAAAGGAUGGGGAUGCGUUCCAUUAGGUUGUUGGUGAGGUAACGGCUCACCAAGCCUUCGAUGGAUAGGGGUUCUGAGAGGAAGGUCCCCCACAUUGGAACUGAGACACGGUCCAAACUCCUACGGGAGGCAGCAGUGAGGAAUAUUGGUCAAUGGGCGCUAGCCUGAACCAGCCAAGUAGCGUGAAGGAUGAAGGCUCUAUGGGUCGUAAACUUCUUUUAUAUAAGAAUAAAGUGCAGUAUGUAUACUGUUUUGUAUGUAUUAUAUGAAUAAGGAUCGGCUAACUCCGUGCCAGCAGCCGCGGUAAUACGGAGGAUCCGAGCGUUAUCCGGAUUUAUUGGGUUUAAAGGGAGCGUAGGUGGACUGGUAAGUCAGUUGUGAAAGUUUGCGGCUCAACCGUAAAAUUGCAGUUGAUACUGUCAGUCUUGAGUACAGUAGAGGUGGGCGGAAUUCGUGGUGUAGCGGUGAAAUGCUUAGAUAUCACGAAGAACUCCGAUUGCGAAGGCAGCUCACUGGACUGCAACUGACACUGAUGCUCGAAAGUGUGGGUAUCAAACAGGAUUAGAUACCCUGGUAGUCCACACAGUAAACGAUGAAUACUCGCUGUUUGCGAUAUACAGUAAGCGGCCAAGCGAAAGCAUUAAGUAUUCCACCUGGGGAGUACGCCGGCAACGGUGAAACUCAAAGGAAUUGACGGGGGCCCGCACAAGCGGAGGAACAUGUGGUUUAAUUCGAUGAUACGCGAGGAACCUUACCCGGGCUUAAAUUGCAGUGGAAUGAUGUGGAAACAUGUCAGUGAGCAAUCACCGCUGUGAAGGUGCUGCAUGGUUGUCGUCAGCUCGUGCCGUGAGGUGUCGGCUUAAGUGCCAUAACGAGCGCAACCCUUAUCUUUAGUUACUAACAGGUCAUGCUGAGGACUCUAGAGAGACUGCCGUCGUAAGAUGUGAGGAAGGUGGGGAUGACGUCAAAUCAGCACGGCCCUUACGUCCGGGGCUACACACGUGUUACAAUGGGGGGUACAGAAGGCAGCUAGCGGGUGACCGUAUGCUAAUCCCAAAAUCCUCUCUCAGUUCGGAUCGAAGUCUGCAACCCGACUUCGUGAAGCUGGAUUCGCUAGUAAUCGCGCAUCAGCCACGGCGCGGUGAAUACGUUCCCGGGCCUUGUACACACCGCCCGUCAAGCCAUGGGAGCCGGGGGUACCUGAAGUACGUAACCGCAAGGAUCGUCCUAGGGUAAAACUGGUGGCUGGGGCU
rnacentral:rRNA from 1 species